rnacentral:tRNA from 1 species
CCUUGGGUGGGGUAAACAGUUAAUGCAUUUGGCUGCUAACCAAAAGGUUGGAGGUUGGAGCCUACCCAGAGGA